rnacentral:rRNA from 1 species
GCCCGCUCAGAAACUCAAAUGAAUUGACGGGGGCCCGCACAAGCGGUGGAGCAUGUGGUUUAAUUCGAUGAUACGCGAGGAACCUUACCUGGGCUCAAAUGUAUGUUGACGUAUUCUGAAAGGGAUACUUCUUCGGACAAUAUACAAGGUGCUGCAUGGUUGUCGUCAGCUCGUGCCGUGAGGUGUCGGGUUAAGUCCCAUAACGAGCGCAACCCCUAUCAUUAGUUGCCAUCAGGUCAAGCUGGGGACUCUAAUGAAACUGCCUACGCAAGUAGUGAGGAAGGUGGGGAUGACGUCAAAUCAGCACGGCCCUUACGUCCAGGGCUACACACGUGCUACAAUGGCCGGUACAAAGGGCAGCUACCUGGUGACAGGAUGCUAAUCUCAAAAGCCGGUCUCAGUUCGGAUCGGAGUCUGCAACUCGACUCCAUGAAGUUGGAAUCGCUAGUAAUCGUGGAUCAGCAUGCCACGGUGAAUACGUUCCCGGGCCUU